rnacentral:lncRNA from 1 species
UGAGCAAGUAAUUUUUCCUGGGUGGACGGAAAUCUAAAGUCUGUUUUCUAACACUCUUACAGACACUUCUCUGUCCAUCGGCCUGUCCUGCCAACUCUGGUGUGAGUGUGAAGUUGUGGCAAGAGGGGUUUCCCGUUCCUAUUUGACCUGGUGGACACCAGCUUUCCUAGGAAAUUGCUGAUGUUGCUGAGGAGGCAGCAGUAUCAAAGCCCUCGAUUCUGAAAGCAGCAAAGCAAGCUAGAGGAAAACGUAUCCAAAACUCCGUAUCACAGCGGAUCUUCUCCUCUGAUCUGAAAAGCUUCACAGGCCAAAAGAGAAUUGAGAUGAAGAAGGAAAUAGAGAAUGCUGACCAGUAUUUCCAAUUACCACCCCAACUUCUGUCUUGGCUCUUCACAUCCAGCCAGAGCAGUUUCUUUGCCUCCGCAACCUGCAGGCUGUCCUCUCGUGUGUACCUGUGGUGGGCUGAGGGUAAUGCUUGUAACGCACACAGAUGCUGUAUUCACUAGCACUUUGAGAAAAGAGAGCAAGAAGC